rfam:Schistosoma mattheei strain Denwood, Zambia genome assembly, scaffold: SMTD_scaffold0017443
AUCCAGCUGACAAGUCCCAAAAUGGGAUGAAACGUGCGUCCUAGAU